GAUGAACGCUGGCGGCAGGCCUAACACAUGCAAGUCGAACGAGUGGCGGACGGGUGAGUAAUGUCUGGGAAACUGCCUGAUGGAGGGGGAUAACUACUGGAAACGGUAGCUAAUACCGCAUACCAUCGGAUGUGCCCAGAUGGGAUUAGCUAGUAGGUGGGGUAACGGCUCACCUAGGCGACGAUCACUAGCUGGUCUGAGAGGAUGACCAGUCAGAAUGGAAAUGGGACACGGUCCAGACUCCUACGGGAGGCAGCAGUGGGUAAGAUUGCACAAUGGGCGCAAGCCUGAUGCAGCCAUGCCGCGUGGAUGAAGAAGGCCUUAGGGUUGUAAAGUACUUUCAGCGGGGAGGCGUUACUCGCAGAAGAAGCACCGGCUAACUCCGCGCCAGCAGCCGCGGUAAUUC
rnacentral:rRNA from 1 species